UUCAGCAAAAAUGUAGCCAGAACACUUCGUUUGCAAACGAAACAUUCUCACAACCCACUUACUAUUUGUUAGAAGUAAUGUUUUCCACUAAAUUAGGUGAAUAAUGGAACCUACGGUUAUUGUGGCACAGAAGAGACAACCUCAACAGCUCAGGGAAUAAAGAAUGUGUGUUCGAGCAAAGUGAGAAUGUGGGAGAGUUGGUUGAAUUUAAAACUUCUGGAUGCUUGUAAAUAAUAUUGAAAGGCUGUUUUCCAACCUUUAAUUGGGUGAAAUAUAAGAGUCUUUUUAUUUAAAAAAUUUUUGGUUUUGGAAUAGUGAGGAAGUACUGGGAAAAAUAUGUCUUUGGUUUUGGCACGGAAAACAUAAAGUUCUUGUGCUUUCUCUCCACCCCCGGCCUUUUCUAAUAUGUUUACUACAUUUUUCAGUCUCUGGUUUGAACUUUAUUCUGUCAAGUUUCUGAAUUAUGAGGAAUACAAAAUUUCCUAGCAAUUGAGGUAGAUACAGACUCAUUUUAAUUUGAACCAUUUUGCGAGGCUCAUGAAAAAACAACCAUGAUCUUAAAAAGCCACAACAGUUUUAAAAUAUGGUAAGGACCAGGGAGGACACUAAAGGCUCCUGAUGUGAGUGUGAGUUCCUGAGUUUCAUCAACAUGCAAUCAGUUAUUUUAACUGAGGAGCAUUUUUUUCAGCCCUAUGAUUAUGCGCAAAAAUAAAAACAAAGUAUGUGUGGCCAAGGAAAUAAGAAUAAGCAAAAGAGCAAAUGACCUACAUAAGCUAGGGCAAGUCUCAAUUAUAUACAUAACCAUAUAGAGUAAUAUUAUCGUUACAAUUUGUACUUGUGGUACCUUGCAGUUUGGAAAGUAUGUGGUGGGGGGGAUGUAUGUAUAUGGAGAGCGAGCAGACAGACAGACGGACAGACACAUUUGAACAAUAGAUCUAACCUAUGGGGAUGAAAGAUAAGAAUCAUUAUCCCUAAUUUAGAGAAAGCAUAAUAGUUUGAACACAAUGAAGCGACUUUCCCAUGGUCCAAGUAGGUGCCUUAUCUCCCCCAUAACCACGCAACAGCAAACUUGCAUGUACCUGUGUGUACUAAACCUGUGUGUACUAGAAGCUGUGCUCAGAAUGCAGACUCAAGUUCAAUUCUGCAGCAUGUUAGAAUAGUAAGCAAAUUUCAGAUUGUGCAAAACUUGCACUUCUGGUCCCAAAGCCUCGUUUAAUAAAAGCAAAUCAGCCUUGAUUAUUGCCUAAGUAAAUGAAAGUGUUAAUUAAGCUCAGCUCCCUGGUCGGAACUAAAAGCCCGUGAAACUUUUAAACAUACCUGAGGAAUGGGAGCAGGCAGCUGUGAACUUGUGAUAAGGGUGUAGGCACAUUUCUUUCUGUUUGCCUGGUGUCCAGCUUGGGGACAACAAGACAGUAAACCCCUAACAAAUAUGCAAGGGAGUAAAGGACAAAAAAAGGGGGCGUGCUGAGAAGGGAGAAAGAAAAUGAGUGAAUGAGGAAUAGAGGGAGAAAAGGAAGGAGAGAGGGACAAACUUCAUUCACUAAUUGGCUGUAUUGAAGGUGAAUAUGAAUGAAGUCAUGGUUUGGAGAGUUGCCAAUUUGUUCUUCCUGCCUUGGCUGUAAGCUGACUGCCUUUCGUUAGGUAUGACUAUAUAUCCACAAGCAUUCAUAGGUAAGUCAACAGUGCUGCAUACACCCACACCCUAGCCAGCACACACAUUCUCUCUCUCCCCACUCCCUUUUUCCCUCCCUCCCACCCUCUCCUUCUCAAACUGAGGUUCCUAUCUCACACACAAGGCCAGAGUAAAGAUAAUCAAAGAGGAUGAUUAAAAUGCUAUAGAUAGGGAAGAGGUAAGAGCAAACAUUUCAGGUGAGAAUUAUAUAUCCUUGAAUAAUCAGGAUGCUGAGAUAGAAACAAACACAUACACACAGACUUUUCAUUAACUUGGAAAGUGUAGAGAGGUGACUCUUUGUGGAAAAGGGGUUAAAAAUAUUCACUGAAAUUUAAAAAAGCUGCUCAAAGUAAGGCGCUUUCUACAAAUCACAGCAGGGGAGAAAAGAGCCCAACUUCUGAAGAUGCUAGCCAAAUUAUGAUCUCUUUCCAACAGAGGGAUCCACCUUAAGAAAGGUCCAGAGAGCUCAAUAGAAACCAAAUACAGUAAGAGGAAGUUGGGAGUGUGGGUGUCAGGCUGUCAGUAAUCUGACAGCUAUGGUAACUACCCUCUAAUCCAGCCAGCUCCAGCCACGCUCUCGGCUGACACCACCAGGACUGACUGACAGCUGAGGAGCAGGCACUUUUUACAGGCUCAAGUGACAUCCAGUCUAUUAAGGCUGACAAGCACAAAGCAGAGAUUUGCCCUGAAUGGUUUGGUACUGAAGCCUAGUAAAGGGGUUAUUUGAAAGGUCUUAGAGAAAGUGUCAGACUCCAGCUCAGAUGAUAACAGUAUUGUAAUGAUAGUACUGGACAAUGAAGUGCUAUGAUUGCCCGUAUGGGCCAGGAAGACUGGAGGCGAAUAGGGAACGCUGAAGAGGCCCAUUCACAAGCUGAGUCUCCAAGGCCCUUUGGUGGUGUGUUCGCUUGGGCCUUGGAGGGAGCUUCCCAAAGUCGUGUAUUAAUUGUGUUUUUUGUAUGGGCUGGGGGCGGAGAGUAAGCUGUGAUGGAGGACUGGCUCUAAACUAGGCAACACCUAAAAAGAAUAUUUGCCUGCCUUUGGUUCACUCUCCAGUUUAUCAAAGAGGCAUUGAAAAUAUUUCCCGGAAGAAAACGAAUGGUAAUUUUCAGACCACUGCUCUGCUUAUUAACUCUGGCUGAAAAAUAAAUUAGCAACUGAAACAUUACCAUGAUAUCAUCAUUGGUGUUCUUGACUACACUGGCUCCCAUGGGUGCCAGGCAGGGUGUCAACACCACCACCCAGAAUUUAUACAGCAGGUUUUUUUUUCCUUAUGUUCAGUCAAAUGAAUUGUUUUUCUUAAGUGCAUCUUUAGAGUUCUCACUAUGAAGUAAAAAAAAAGAACAAGCAUCAUAAUCCUGUUUUACUGAUAGGAAAAUGUCUCCUGUUGUCAUUAUGCCCUCUCAUUUGGGUGAGGCAUAUUUUAUGUAUAUGUUUAUUUGCGACCCAUUUAUUCACUUAUUCCACACAUAUUGUGCCCUCAUCAUGAGACAGGUACUGAGGUAGUUUCUGGGGAUAGAGCAGUAAUGGAGUGUGGUCCCUGUCUACAUAGCGCUAAAAAUCCAGGGCUUGGGGCUUAUGUUUAGCUUAUAUGUACCACUACCGGCAUGCCAGCUGUUAAUAUAUUGAUGUACUUCUAUAUUGACAAAUAGCCCCUGGUCUGAUUCCCCAAGAGUGGAUCUCCAUCUGCUUCCCUCAUCUGCUUCUCUGGUCCCUCCCUCAUGACUCCUUCAAAUCCACUGUGAUCCAGCAACAAAAGAAUAAGUAAAUACCUGGCAUACCAGGGGCCAGAUCCCUGGCCCAACAUUCUAUCCAGUGUCCAUUCUGAUUGCUUUUCCUGAUUUUCACAUCUACCAAUAGUGAAAGAAUUUAAACACCAUUUUGAUGGAGCUUGUAAUUUUAAAAUUUAUCCCAAAAUUUGGAACUCUCUUUUUAGAUUUCUUCAUUUACUCUUCCAGACGUCUUCCUAAAAAGUUAACUUCUAAAGGUUUUGCCACAGAGGAUUUUUUUGGGGAGUCCUAUACAGAAGGAGAGUUGACACUUGAGGGUGCAUUGCUUAUAAGAAUCUUAAAAAUUUGUAAAAAACAAAACUCCAGCACCAUCACCAAGAAACCAGAAUUUGUUCUUAGAAAUUUGGAUUUGUCUGUAUGAUUUCCAUUUUAAAUGGCUUUGGGUCUGCUCUCAGCAUUUCUCUAAAAUUUUUCAUUAAGAU
rnacentral:lncRNA from 1 species